rnacentral:rRNA from 1 species
CGCGGCCUAUCAGCUUGUUGGUGGGGUAACGGCCUACCAAGGCGAAGACGGGUAACCGGCCUUAGAGGGUAGUCGGUCACACUGGAACUGAGACACUGUCCAGACUUCUACGGAAGGCUGCAGUCGAGAAUCUUUCGCAAUGCCCGAAAGGGUGACGAAGCGACGCCGCGUGGAUGAAGAAGGCCUUCGGGUUGUAAAGUCCUGUCAGGAGUUAAGAAAUGUAGGUGCGAUAAUACCGUGCCUAUUUGACAAAGGCUCCAAAGGAAGCCACGGCUAACUCUGUGCCAGCAGCCGCGGUAAUACAGAGGUGGCAAGCGUUGUUCGGAAUUAUUGGGCGUAAAGAGCACGUAGGUGGAUUUGUUAGUCAGAUGUGAAAGCCUUUUGUUCAACGGAAGAAUUGCAUCUGAAACUACAAACCUUGAGUAUAGGAGGGGAGAGUGGGACUUCUGGUGGAGCGGUGAAAUGCGUAGAUAUCAGAAGGAACGCCGGCGGCGAAAGCGACUCUCUGGCCUAUAACUGACACUGAGUGUGCGAAAGCUAGGGGAGCAAACGGGAUUAGAUACCCCGGUAGUCCUAGCCGUAAACGAUGGGCACUAAGUAGGGGGAACUACCGAUGUUCUCUCUGCCGUAGCAAACGCAUUAAGUGCCCCGCCUGGGGAGUACGG